rnacentral:tRNA from 1 species
GGCAUCGUGGCCGAGAGGCUAGGCAGCGGUCUGCAAAACCGUCCACAGCGGUUCGAAUCCGCUCGAUGCCUCAA